UACGGAGGGUGCAAGCGUUAUCCGGAUUCACUGGGUUUAAAGGGUGCGUAGGUGGGCAGGUAAGUCAGUGGUGAAAUCUCCGGGCUUAACCCGGAAACUGCCGUUGAUACUAUCUGUCUUGAAUAUCGUGGAGGUGAGCGGAAUAUGUCAUGUAGCGGUGAAAUGCUUAGAUAUGACAUAGAACACCCAUUGCGAAGGCAGCUCACUACGGGAUUAUUGACUCUGAGGCACGAAAGCGUGGGGAUCAAACAGG
rnacentral:rRNA from 1 species